UUCGAUUGAAUUAUACUGAAAUUUCUAGAUCACUCAUGAGUUAUGCCCUCGGAUAAAUGCAUAAAUUAGAAAUAAGGAAUGCGUGAUUCAAUCUACAAGCUUUACUAAACGACCUUUUGAUUUUUUCUGUUUGCUGAUUUAUUUUUAUUUUUGGUUAUUGAUUCAUGUAGUUUUGUGUAACUGAUCCCUCCCCUGCUCUAAAUAAAUUUGUCAAUUUGCAUUUGAUUCUAUGUUCUAAAUUGCUUUGCACCUUUGUUCUUGGUUUUGAUUUUAUUUGGGACUUAGGAGAGAAAAAUAUGAGGCCUCCAUGUGGAUGGUUUAUUUGAAAGCAUUUUCGAAUUUGAGAGUUUAAUUCUAGCAAUUUUUCUAGUUUUUGAUUCUAUGUUCUAGAGUGUAUGUCUUGUAAAGGUUUUUGCAAUUUAAGGCUAUAAGUACUUGGAACUUAUUGACAAAUUCUCUUCAAAACUAUGUAAAAGAAGAAUACGUAUGACUUCUCAUAUUUAGAAAUUUUGAGCCCACAUUGUUUGUUUGAUCUAUGGAGCAGACCACUUUUUGUGUGUGUGUUGUGCGAACUCCACUUGCAGUUUAUUCAGUGAUUUGAUAAUUUCACUUAUAUCCUUAUUUUUGUGAGAUAACUAACCAUAUAUUAACGUGCAGCUUGCAUCCUUCCGGUGUCGUGGCAAGCAUAUGUACGCAUAAUUUCAAGCAGAUAGUUGACCCGAAUGGAUUCAGCCAGAAAACUCUAUUGGGCUGAAUUUAAGAAAUAUGCUAACCGUAAGUCUUAUGAUGAAGAUGAGUGCAAGGAGGCUUUUAUUAGUAAGUGCAAAGUUAGAUACGGGGAUUUCAUUUGCUAUUAUAAAAAGAAGACGAAGAAACCUUCUUUUUACACAAAUGCCCAAUGGUCGAAUUACCAAAAAGACUGGAAUUUAUCCGAGAGUAUUGAAGCUUUCGAGAGGUGCUCGGCAAACUGUAAACAAGGGCUUGAGACUGCGCCUGACACACAUAGUAAUGGAUGUAUAUCAUUUGCGGAGACAACAACUAAAAUGGCAAGAGAGAAUAUUAGAAAACUUUCUCCAUUUAUGGAGUUAGUUCUUUCUAAAGACCCACAAGCUAAGUAACGGUGAUUCACAAGGUGAGUUGUGUUCGCAGCGCGCUCAACAAAUUGUAGAUGACGAUAUGGCACGGGCUGAAGGAAUAGAGAAUCCGGAUCAUGAAGCCAUCUUCGUGGAUCUUUUUGGGAAGGUGAAGAAGAGAGAACAAAUUUCUAGUUCGGGGCAAGCAACAAGCAUAUACUUCCCAUUGGCUACUUACUCAUCUGGGGGUUCUGCCCCCGUCAAUGCUAGCCAGGCCGAUGUACUGGUCGAGUAACGAGUUAAAGAACAUCGUGAUCAAAUGUAACUGCAACUUGAAAAGGUGCAAGCCGAUUCAAAUAGGAAUAUUGCAUUGGUGCGUGAGUAAGCAGCUCAGAGGGAGCAAAGAAUGCGAGAGGAAGCGGCUAGGAGGGAGCAAUGGAAGAUCGAAUGAUGCGCCUUUUUAAUGAAAAAAUGGGACAAAUGACAAAUGUGUAGUUUAGUGUAAUUUUGUAAGACAAUCUUAAAUUUAUAUAUUUUUGUUAAAUAA